rnacentral:rRNA from 1 species
UACAGAGGGGGCAAGCGUUGUUCGGAAUUACUGGGCGUAAAGGGCGCGUAGGCGACCUUCUAAGUCGAACGUGAAAUCCCUGGGCUCAACCCAGGAACUGCGUCCGAUACUGGAAGGCUUGAAUCCGGGAGAGGGAUGCGGAAUUCCAGGUGUAGCGGUGAAAUGCGUAGAUAUCUGGAGGAACACCGGUGGCGAAGGCGGCAUCCUGGACCGGUAUUGACGCUGAGGCGCGAAAGCCAGGGGAGCAAACGGG